rnacentral:rRNA from 1 species
UAAUAGUGUAUAUUAAAGUUGUUGCAGUUAAAAAGCUCGUAGUUGAAUGUUGGUGUCGAACGAGCGGUCAGCUUCGGCUGUACUGCUCUCUCGACUCCUUCCUUCUGUGGACUACGUCGCACUUUACUGUGUGGCGCUAGGACGCAGAUCGUUUACUGUGAAAAAAUUAGAGUGUCCAAAGCAGGCCGUACGCUUGAAUACAUUAGCAUGGAAUAAUGGAAUAGGACGUCGGGCCUAUUUUGUUGGUUCUAGGACCGUCGUAAUGAUUAAUAGGGACAGUUGGGGCCGUUUAUAUUCCGUAGUCAGAGGUGAAAUUCUUGGAUUUACGGAAGAUAAACUACUGCGAAAGCAUUCGGCAAGGAUGUUUUCGUUAA